UGUUCUUUAGCAGCAUUUUCCUCUCAAGCACUGGUGCAACGUGAUGGAAAAUCAGCAGAGAAUGGCUGGGCGUGCACAGGACUGACUGCUGGAGGAAUGGUUGUGUAGGGACUGCAUGCUGCCUUCAGGUCUCUUAAGAGUAGCAUGGAACUUCUCAUUCUUUAAUGCUGUGUGAAGCAGGAAGAAAGAAAUAUACAGACAAGAACCUUCUUGGCAUCUUUGCUAUCUGUUUUGUUGGUGCGCAGUGGAACACCUGGAUGGAGGGUUUGUUUUGCAGGAGGAGGAGGAUGACAAAUGAGAACAGCCUGCUGCAGGGGUUCUGUGAGGUGGGAGGUUUGUAUAAGCUUCUGACUUGUUCUCCUUGGGGACAGAGGGAGAGGAGAAUGCCCCCAUGAACAGGGAGGUCAGAUAUGUCUGCCAGGUGGUGUUAUGUGGCAGCUUGGAAGGUAAACAUUUCUCCUAUUCUCUUUUUUCAUAGAAUGGUUUGAGCUGGAAGGGACCCUUAAAGGCUGUGUGGUCCCACUCUCUGCAGU
rnacentral:lncRNA from 1 species